GGCUCAGGAUGAACGCUAGCGACAGGCUUAACACAUGCAAGUCGAGGGGCAGCGGGGGCGUAGCAAUAUGCCUGCCGGCGACCGGCGCACGGGUGAGUAACACGUAUGUAACCUGCCCUAUGCAGGGGGAUAACCCGGAGAAAUCCGGCCUAAUACCGCGUAACACCUUAGGGGAGCAUUCUCUUGAGGUUAAAGGAGAGAUCCGGCAUAGGAUGGACAUGCGUCGCAUUAGGUAGACGGCGGGGUAACGGCCCACCGUGCCGACGAUGCGUAGGGGUUCUGAGAGGAAGGCCCCCCACACUGGUACUGAGACACGGACCAGACUCCUACGGGAGGCAGCAGUGAGGAAUAUUGGUCAAUGGCCGAGAGGCUGAACCAGCCAAGUCGCGUGAGGGAAGAAUGUCCUAAGGAUUGUAAACCUCUUUUGUCGGGGAGCAAAAAGGCUCUGCGGAGUCGUAUUGAGAGUACCCGAAGAAAAAGCAUCGGCUAACUCCGUGCCAGCAGCCGCGGUAAUACGGAGGAUGCGAGCGUUAUCCGGAUUUAUUGGGUUUAAAGGGUGCGCAGGCGGCGUGUCAAGCAAGCGGUAAAAUAGCGGGGCUCAACCCCGUCGAGCCGUUUGAACUGGCGCGCUUGAGUUCAGGCGAGGUAGGCGGAAUUCGUGGUGUAGCGGUGAAAUGCAUAGAUAUCACGAAGAACUCCGAUUGCGAAGGCAGCUUACCAGUCUGCGACUGACGCUCAGGCACGAAAGUGUGGGUAUCGAACAGGAUUAGAUACCCUGGUAGUCCACACAGUAAACGAUGAGCG
rnacentral:rRNA from 1 species